rnacentral:lncRNA from 10 species
CAGCAGUGGAGUGACAGGAUAGAGAAACAACUGUAGAGGAGCAAGAGAUGAUGGUGACUCAGACCAAAGUGGAAGCAGUGGAGGUGAGGAGAGCUGGUCAAAUUCCAGGCAGUACCUGAAACACAUUCAUCACAGUCAAAAGGAAGUGAAGAGACACAGAAGGGAAGCAAGAUACUGAGAUGCUGCCAAGUAUCCCAGAGUCCAUGAUGGAGUAGAGAUGAAACAAUAGACCCAGGUCAUUCCUCUGCUGGAGGUUCUGAGGCAAGCAGUAGUGCUCUGCAGAUGAACAUUCAUGACAACUUGCCUUUCAACUGGAGGUGUGUGACAGCCAGAAAAAUACCAUCGAGGUAAAGCUUUUUUCUCCUAGAGGAGCAACUGACUCACCGCAGCAUGUUGUUAUGUGGACCUCGAGUCUGUGGACUAGUGACCUUCACCUCCUUCAGUGUGUGGGUCUGUCCAGGGCUUCCAUCCCUCCAGUAAGAACCCUAACCCACAUUCCUGCAUUUGAUAACUUUGAGUUAAAUCAAGAAAAGCUUGGAAAUUUGGACAUAGUUGUUUAUAAGUCACUCAUAUUAUCUAUUAAAGUCUAAAAAUGUUGUAGUCCCUGAAUUUAGUAGAACAAUGUCUGUAGUGAGAGCAAAAAUCUUUCAGGGAAAGCUUACUCCUCCUGAUCUUCACUCCACAUACUUCACUGAUAUUGGACAACUAACCCUUUAAAAAGGUUUUGCUUGGGCUCCUUCAAAGCCAUGAAAAGUACCAAGGUAUAUCAAAGUUCACUAUCCUUUCCAUAUCUUCCAUAAUCCCAGUCACCCUUUCUAUCAGACACAAAGUGGGGACAUAGGCAGUGCCUUAAAGCAUCCUAUCAUCUACACCUAAUUUGGGGCACAUAUCUGAUAAUACUGACUCCUAAACCUUGAUUCUGAAAACCACCAUCUCUCUAUUAAAUGAUCAAGAACAUCCCACACACAACACCGGGCAAUGAUACAUCUUCAUGUAUUUCCUG